rnacentral:rRNA from 1 species
UACCAGCACCCCGAGUGGUCGGGACGAUUAUUGGGCCUAAAGCAUCCGUAGCCGGUUCUACAAGUCUUCCGUUAAAUCCACCUGCUUAACAGAUGGGCUGCGGAGGAUACUAUGGAGCUAGGAGGCGGGAGAGGCAAGCGGUACUUAGUGGGUAGGGGUAAAAUCCGUUGAUCCAUUGAAGACCACCAGUGGCGAAGGCGGCUUGCCAGAAUGCGCUCGACGGUGAGGGAUGAAAGCUGGGGGAGCAAGCCGG